UCAGAUCACAUCGCUUCAAACUAUCCGACCGAUAUAGAACAGUAUUAAAUAGUAUUUAAUCUUUUUAUUACUUUCUUUUCUGAUAUCGAGUAGUAUCAAUCAGUAUGUCGGUGCGAUAACUCAAUAAUGUGAUAACUACUUCAUUACUUGAUGAGGUUAACCCACUCAUCUAAAAUUCUUCGAUCUAAAACUAUAGUUAUUACCUCACCGAUCCCUAUAAAAUAUGUUUGCUGAUGGAGUCGGGUCGAAGAUUCGGGCGACGCGCCGCGAGGUCGCUUCCUCGUGGCCACGCUCCCCGUUUCUCUCACGUCUUCUUCUCUUCGGUGUACCGACGUUGACGAAAUCGGCGUUAGUUGUUGACCACGACAAGGUGGAUUUCGAGAUUGGUCGAGGAGCUAAGUCUAUUGAGGUUGAUGUGUUUGUUCCUCAAGUUAAAUUGAUGGCUGAUCAUUGGACUUCUAAGAAGCUGCCAGAGAAUUAUCUUGGUAGUGUUGGUUUUAUCUCUAUACCCAUGAGGAAGGUAUCUGAAAUUCUUAUCCAAGCAUAUGCACUUCAAAAUGAUUUGAUUGCAUUUUCCAUAUAUGUUUUAUUGGUUUCCCUUGUGCCUUUCACAUAUUUUGUAAUGUUUAAAUGUAAGAACUUUUUUCAUUAAUUAUCUGAGGGUAAUAUAACUACAAAGCUUCAAUACUGACACCCUAAAAGUUGUCAUGGUCGAUCUAACUUAAUGUUCAUCUGUCAAUUGAAUUUGAAGAUAUUAUUGGUGCAGAAAUUAAACUUCUAAAAGGACUAUAACUACAAAAGAAAAGAAAACAAUUCCAUGCAAAGAUUAAUUUUUUAACUGAAUUUCAAGUGUCAACCAGACGGCAAUUGAAGAACUUAAAUUAUUUAUCCUGACAUUUUAUCCAGGUUGAACAAAAUAGAUUAGCAUAAAAACUAAGAGCUUUACUUAUUUAUCCCACCCAAAUUUCACAAUCAAAACAACUAAUUAUGAGAUUUUUUUAAAAACUUACAAGAUCUCAAUUGCCAUGAGCGAAGCAAAUGCAGUGGAUAUUGCACCUGUCAACGCACUUGACGAUAGCAUUCUGCAAAACUUUUGAGCUCAUGAGAUGACUUUCUCAAUUCUAAAUGGUUGAUAUGGUAAUCCUUCAGAUAAUUAAUUAUUUUAUUACAUUGACAAGUUGUCAUGACAACUUACAUAGAUGUGAUUCUUGGAGGAUCAGGAUUAUUAUAGCUGCAACUCAAGCCAUCCCAUGAAUAUUGUCUUGGAGCACAUGGAUCACCCAUCCAAUUUCUUCUCAAUUUAUAUUGCUUUUUUAUUACCAUAAUGGCAUAAACUGAUUCCCCAAGGACAAAGCCAACCAAUGUCAAGCAUGCAAAGCUCAUUUUUGCUCUUCGAUUGCAAUUUUUCAUUAAGAGGACAGCAAAUAAGGCUUACCAUCACUGGAGUUGGUUGUGAUUUCCUUUUUCUGCAUUGGAAAAUAGGCCUCUAUUGCAUUGAGAAGUGGUGGAAGGGUGGAAUUACUGGUGGCGUUUAUUGUGUAGUUGUACUGGUCAUAUGGAUACUUUGGAACAGGAUCGUAAAUCCAAUCUGCCACGUUUGCUGGUGGACUGUAUGGCCCAUACCAUAAGUAGUCAUUUAUAUAGAUGUUGAACUCCCUUGAGCUGUUGCCAGUGAGGGACAGCACCUCCGAGAAGUAUAGGACAGUGAGGAACGCGUUAACAUUGGCUUGCCAGCUGAUGUAGGAAAUUCUGAAUUGCAUCUGAUUAGAGUUCACUGGCGUAAGGGCAGUUUGCAUCACUGUGGAUGGUGCCUCAAAAUCCUUGCCGUAGUUUCUCACUGUCGAGUUGGUGUGUAUUGUCGUCCAUGACUGGCUUCCACUCCAUGGUAUCCAGAUACGAUCAUAAGGGUCAUCAGGGUAUCUGUCCGGUAUAUACAUAAAAUGUAUAAGUAUGUUUGUAUAGAAAAGAAGACAGCAAAAACUCCAGCAGUUCAAUAUUCAAAAUACAGGCAUGGCCUGCUCUGUAAGGUUCUUUUGCUCACCUCACUAUGUUGUUUGUCAGUGAUCCAGCAUCAACACGAAAAUAGAGAAUGAGAGUUCUUGUGGCAUUUGCUAUGGGGUAAAUUGUAUUCUUCAAAGGCCUCAUCUCAAGAGCAGAUAUGAAGGGGGUUCCGUGGCCCGUGUUUACCAAGCAGAUGGACAUGAAGUCUGUCAUAGCAACUGUGAUUGCUUCAUGUCUAUAAGGAUCAGAAGCAUCUGUUAUGUUCACUGUUUGCCAGUAGUUGACAUCCAAGUGCAGAUCAAAUAGCAGCAUGGCGCUGUUCAGGUGAUCAUAGUUUCCAUACAUGAAGGUUGUUCUUAUGAGAUACUUCUGAUUCUGCAACACAGGCAUGGUGUAGCAAUUCCGGGCUCCAUCAGGGAAGCUUCUAACGUCUGUGAGUUGCUUUGCUAGUGAGGGGGUCAAGUAGCUGGAGGAGAUGUUGUAGCUUACCCCCCUAUCUAUGUAUUGGUCAUCCAAGACAUACGGUAUUUGGGUGGUUGGAUCUGGAUAGUUAUAGUUACUGCCACAAUCAAUGCUUAUAUAACCUGCAAAUAAAUUUUUAUUCUGAGAUAUGUUUCAGAUAGAUGCCUUUGUUGGUUAGAGACAUAUGCAUUUGUUCAUCACCUCUACAGAUUUUUCCAUUUUGCACUCACUGUAUGACACCACUUAUAUAUUGGACUACUCAUAUUUUGCAUUCAUUCAAUAUCUUCAUAUAAUAAAAAUGAAAUUUUACUAAGCUGUUUCUAAAAUUUUAUAAUUCUUGUUUACAGAGGCAUUUCGUUAACUAGGUGGAGCACAUCAACAUGAAAAAUGAGCUCCAUCCACAAGGGAGAUUUUUGGUGUUGUUAGAGUCACCUACCAGGCUUCUAUUUGGAGUGUUUAAUGACUUGCACACCCGAAGGCACUGCUUUUUUGACUCUGCUGUCUGGUGCAGGUAAUGACAGAUGACUGAAGAGAUAACAGCAUGAAGGAUUUAUAGGGAAAAAAAAAGAGGCAUGGGCUACACAUGCAGCAUGACAAAGUUUCUGAUGAUCACGUAUAUGCAUACCUUCGGUACUUGGAAGCUGCUGGCCGUGAACAUGAACUGCGACAACUGAGACACCCAGAAAAGCAAAGAACCAAAUUGCCAUUUCCAACCUACUGGAGCAGCUCAUGUUCCUUCUCCCCUGCCUCGUCUCAGCUUAUCAGAACCAUACAGGCUAUGUGGUAUAUAAUGUCCUAAAUUUCAGUUAAAAUAUGGGAUGAUAUACAUAAUAUAUUUUUCAUCGGAAUACUUUCUUUACCAGUUUGUGGUAUAUAGGCCAUGUGGUAUAUACUUUCAUCCACUGUAGGUUAGGCAAUUUGAGAGGCAACAUCCAUCAUCAAGGGACCCACAUAUGGGAAGAUCAUAUAUUUCAGCAUGUUCAGAAUGUCAUACACCCACUUUAAGCAUCCAAUAUCAGGACGUGAAUGGUGGGAAUAGAUCUAAUGUCAAUUGCUUUGGAGGAGAAGAAAACAUUUAUAAGAGUCAGAUUAUAUUUAUAUAUGUAUAUGUAUUAUAUAAUAUAUAUAUAUAUAUAAUAUAUAAUACAUAUAUAUAUAUAUAAUACAUAUAUAUACACAUACAUAUAUACAUAAUACAUACAUAUAUUUAUUUAUUUAUUUAAAUGUAUAUAGUGUAAACAUUCUCUGAAGCUGACAUUUGAAUAAGAGUUCUCUUCAAUCAAUUGCAAGUAUUGGAGAACAGUAGAAUACACCAAGUUGGGUGCUAUGUUCAGCAAAGCAGACGAAAUAUACAGAAAAGAAAAACGAUGUGAGAGGAACACCAGAGCUUCGGCAGACGAUUCCGGUCUCUGACCUAUAAGACAAGUUGAUCAAUUAAAGGUAAACGUUCUCUGAAGUCAACUUUGAAAGUGUCAGUUAAUGUAUAAGGGUAAACAUUGACAUUCUCUUCUUUGUAUAAUUAAUGGCAAGUAGUGGAGAAUAAUAGAAUAAACGAAGUUGAAUGGCUGCUUGGGUUGCAGCAAAGCAGAAGAAACAGAGAGGAAAGAAGAGCACUGUGAGAGGAAGAACAGAGCUUCUGCUGUUGGUUUUGGUCUCUGAUAUUAGUUAGAUAAUAUCUGAUGUUGAUAGCUUUAGCCAUGUUAAUUAAUAUGUAGAAUAGAAUAUUUGUAUCAGGAUUGGUCAGUAAUAUUAAGCAUUGAUGCGUGCUUGAGGGGAUGCAAGUGCAUAAUGAUUUUGACUCUUGAAGAUUUGUACCCAAUUUACUAAAUUUUGAACGUACUUUUUAAAGCC